UGCAAUUGGGUACGUAGUAACGAUAAAAGUAAAAUACAUAAACAUUUUCAGCCAUUCAAAAAGGAUGAAAUUUACAGAUGCACCAUACAAUCUUCAAAAAUAACAGACUUCCAAAACAUAGGUAAAGUUAACAUCAAGUCAAUUCAACUCCUAUGUCAAGUCUUCAGUACUUCUUUCAUCUCCUUCGAUAUCAUCACCU
rnacentral:lncRNA from 1 species